rnacentral:ncRNA from 13 species
CCUCUGGUAGCUCAGUUGGUAGAGCGGUGGACUGUAGUGGUCGUUAAAACAGGUAUCCAUAGUUCGCUGGUUCAAAUCCGGCCCGGAGGA